GUGUCCUCUCGGGCCUAUUGGCUAAGAUCAAGUGUAGUAUCUGUUCUUUCUAGCGUGACAGCUAGAAGGCGCUCCACUAGAGUUGCCCUGUCUGUCAUUGAAUCUUUGGAACAAGACGGAGUCGCUUGGGGCUUGCUCCAAGUUCUGUCGCGGAUGUCGCUCGUGUUGCACUGAAGCGAGCGGACGUCCAUGGACC
rnacentral:snRNA from 1 species